rnacentral:snoRNA from 1 species
GAUCAGAUGAUGAGAUAAUAACUGCAACAAUAUGAUCUUCAUGCGUCUUGGUAUUAAAGUCUCUAAUAAGUCUCUGAUGUUC